rnacentral:rRNA from 1 species
UACAGAGGGUGCGAGCGUUAAUCGGAAUUACUGGGCGUAAAGCGCGCGUAGGCGGCUUUGCAAGUCGGGUGUGAAAUCCCCAGGCUUAACCUGGGAACUGCAUUCGAGACUGCAUUGCUAGAGUAUGGGAGAGGGAAGUGGAAUUUCCGGUGUAGCGGUGAAAUGCGUAGAUAUCGGAAGGAACACCGAUGGCGAAGGCAGCUCGCUGGGACGGUACUGACGCUGAGGCGCGAAAGCGUGGGGAGCAAACAGG